rnacentral:snoRNA from 1 species
UGGCAGAUGAUGAAAUGAAUCAGACGGAUUCCCAUUGAUCUUUCAUUGUGAUAUCGUAACCAGCUACUUCUGAGCUA